rnacentral:misc_RNA from 1 species
UCUCCGUAGGUGAACCUGCGGAGGGAUCAUUACAGAGUUCUCGCCCUCGCGGGUAGAUCUCCCACCCACUGUUAUCGCUACUGUGUUGCUUUGGCGGGUCGCCGGGCCCCGCUCGGCCGCCGGCUCCGGCUGGCGCGCGCCCGCCAGAGGCCCGGCAAACUCUGAAUGUUAGUGUCGUCUGAGUACUAUAUAAUAGUUAAAACUUUCAACAACGGAUCUCUUGGUUCUG